rnacentral:rRNA from 1 species
GAUGAACGCUGGCGGCGUGCCUAAUACAUGCAAGUCGAGCGAACAGACGAGGAUCUUGCUCCUUUCUCGUUAGCGGCGGACGGGUGAGUCACACGUGGAUACCCUACCUAUAAGACUGGGAUAACUUCGGGAAACCGGAUCUAAUACCGGAUAAUAUAUUGCACCGCAUGGUUCAAUAGUGAAAGACGGUUUUGCUGUCACUUAUAGAUGGAUCCGCGCCGAAUUAGAUAGUUGGUACGGUAACGGCUUACCAAGGCAACGAUGCGUAGCCGACCUGAGAGGGGGAUCGGCGACAUGGGAACUGAGACACGGACAAGACGCCUAAGGGAGGCAGCAGUAGGGAAUGGGCCGCAAUGGGCGAAAGCAUGACGGAGCAACGCCGCGUGAGUGAUGAAGGUCUUCGGAUCGUAAAACUCUGUUAUGAGGGAAGAACAAAUGUGUAAGUAAAUAUGCACGUCUUGACGGUACCGAAUCAGAAAGCCACGGCUAACUACGUG